GUGCUCAAUUCAGCAGCACAUAUAUCAAAAAUUAGUGCCAUUCAGAGAUUAACAUGGCCCUGCACUAGGGUGACAUGCAGAUUUGGCAAGUGCUUCAUAUUUUU
ensembl:snRNA U6 U6 spliceosomal RNA